ACCUGUUGCUCGCCUUCAUUGUGCUGGCACACGACAGCUGGCACGGCCCUAGGCUCACUACCGAUUAUAUUCCGGAUUGUUAGAACCGUUUGGUUCCUCACUGAGCUACAGAAUGCCCUGCGCUGCCAACUCCUGGCUGGAGGUUACAUACUUAAAGUGCACAAUUUAACGCGAGGCGGCGCGCUCAGUGCGACCAGGACUGAAGUCGGCACGGCUCACCUCCUCCACCAAGUCAAAGUGUCCUGCCAACACUCAACGGGAACUCCGGCCGCCCAGACUGUCAGUCCCGGAGUUUCGAGAGAGCGCUUCCGUGGCCUGAGCCCCCUGCUGCGACGAGGCCCGCCUGGCUUGGCUGACGCACGACACCACCUUUGGUCGCACGCGCAGGUGACCAAGUCGACAGCUGCACUGAGGAAAGACCGGCGGCGCAGCGAAACAUGACGAGAGAACCGCAACAAGAAAAGCAGCAAAGAAAAAACAAACAAUUUCUCCAUCCACCACCACCUGAUCAAGGAAACAUGCAGCCACUAGCGAUCCUCAAAUAAAAGCAGGAUGGCCUAUCGUACGAUAAGGUGAAAGAUGGGAACCAGUGCUGAUCGACACUAUACACUCCAAACACACACCAGG